rnacentral:rRNA from 1 species
UACAGAGGUGCCAAGCGUUAGGCGGAAUCACUGGGCUUAAAGCGUGUGUAGGCGGACUUCUAAGUACCUUGUGAAAUCCCACGGCUCAACCGUGGAACUGCUGGGUAUACUGGGAGUCUUGAGCCACUUAGGGGUCAGCGGAACAAAUGGUGGAGCGGUGAAAUGCGUAGAUAUCAUUUGGAACGCCAAUGGUGAAAACAGCUCGCUGGGGCUGCGCUGACGCUGAGACACGAAAGCCAGGGGAGCGAACGGG